UUGAGUGUCAUCAAAUUCUCAAAUCUAUAGAGCGUUUUUCGUGAUAUAGGUUUGGAUUGCUGGGGGUUGCUGGCUUCUGACUGAGUCAGCUCCUCUUAAAUGCAUUAGCGGGACUUUAUUGCCUCUGCGCACAGUGUGAUAAUUUAUCUACGCUGGCUGUCAUGCAAUGACUGACGAGUCUAGCUCUCCAAUCGUCUUUCGGGACAAUGACUUGACAAUU
rnacentral:misc_RNA from 1 species